CAGGGAGAACGGAAACAAAUGUGAAAAACAACGAAUCUUUCAGCGCCCAGGUCCUAAAACUCCUGGCAUCUGCUAAUAUUCCUGGAACAAUCCCGAUUCCCUGUUUUUGUUGUGUUUUUUUUUAACUUUCCCGUGUCACCAGGCACCUGGGAGUGGAACUUAAUUCACCGCAGUUUCCCGCCCCCGGGUGAGCGCAGAGGAGGGCAGAGAAGGGAAGAGCUGAGUGGUUGCGCUCUGGUUGACGGCACGUUGGGUCGUCCAGGACAAUCCCUUUAAAAAUCCCCAUUAUUCCGUCUCCUCCGUGCUCCAAGGAGCCAGCAAACGCGGCCAUUGGCCGCUGGUCCAAGUACCCGGCGCGCCGCGGAGCUGCUGAAAUCCCAGCAGACGCGGCCGCAGCAUUCUCUGCCGCCGACAUCAUGUUUCUCCAGCUGGUCCCCCAGGAAUCGGAGGAGGGGUCGCCCCUGUCCCGCGCCCGCCCCGGGGGUCCCGGGACUCACCGCUGCUCAGCUCGUAGCCGAAGAGGGGGCUGGCGGCCGAGGGGGCGGCGGCCACGCGGCAGUCCCAGCGCUCGUGGCGGAACUGGCUGCGGCACUCCUGGACGCCCAGGCGCGCGCCCUCGCGGAUGCUGGGCAGCAGGUAGGGCUUCCUCUUGCACAGCUCCUUCUGCCGGCUGUUCAGCGGCAAGUUGGCGCAGCCCAGCUUCUCCGGGACCCCGAAGGAGGCGAUGCCCAACCACCUGUAAGAAACGGCCGCCCCCCAUGCACGUCGCUCGCCUGCUCUCCUCCCCAAUCCCAGAUGUUCCCCCCCCCGCCACUUAGGCCACCCGCCCGAGGGUCACCGCCCCUACUCCCCGCGCCUUGGCUGCAAGUGCCCUGAGGCUGGGUACCCCAUGUGCCACCACCUACCCCGUGCGUCCCCGCUGCGCCCCGAUACUCACAUCCAGUUUCCUUGGGCCCCGCAGGGGAACAGCGCGAGCAGGGCUGCCCACAGCGCGCACAGGCGGGACAGUCCCAGGAGCGCCGCUCGGUCCAUGGCCCCCGCAUGGAUUCCCGCAGCCCCAGCCACUCCUCUUCGGCCCUCCCUGCCCCGAGGCCCGCCAGGCCAGAGGUCAGCUCCCCAGCACCAAGUUCUCCGUCGCUCUCCUCCUCCCUGCAGACAACAUAAAACGAAGGCCAGAAGCGAGAGGGGCUCCCGGCGGCCUCCCCUCCCUCGCUGGGAGCAGAGCGAGGAGGCGGAGGAAGGAGCUGGAGGCUCUCCUCCCGCGCCCGGCUGGAGACGUGCGGGAGAUGCGGGAGCUGCCCUCGCAUUCCAAGGAGAAUCAUCUUUUUGAGUCAGAGUUGGUACCAAACAAGUUGACCUUUCAACACCCUGCUUGAGGUCCCAAUGCGUCAAGAAGCUUUGGAGGACAGGACGGGAGAAAGGCCUUCCCAUGGGGACCGACGUCAUCUCCCCAAGCACUCAUGUUUAGCCAAAGGAAGGGUGCAGCCUAGCCUCUAACCUACCGCAGUCAACCCGUGUUGUGCGAUUUCCUUUCCCAGGGUUGUCUCCCAUUCCCCAUCCUUGAAAGCACUGUCGGAAGAUGGAAGGCAAGAAAGAAUGAGUGAAAGCUGUCUGGAGGGUUCUAGAAUAGUGGGGAGCUGUGUCCUGACCCUCUGCUCCACUCCACAUGAUGGCUCUCUGGGCAGGGCUACAACUGAAGACAGAUUUUAAAGACAUGGUUAUUAAGCACCUACCAUAUGGCCAGGAAGGACUGUGGGACUUUAGAGAGACAAGACACAAGAUCCAUUCCCUCGAGGGCACAAACCAGCCCUGGAGAGGAGCCUACAUCAAAAUAACUGGAGAUUGUUGGUAAAGGAGAGUAUGAAACCCAGCCAGGUCCUUGUUGGCACCAAAGAGGACCCGGAAGCAGAAUGUCAUGGUGCCUGGCCUUUAGGAAGGUCGGUUAACCAGCAUUCUGCAGUCUCUGGGGACCUCUGAAGGCAAGCAGGACAUGCUUAGCUGUGGGACAGCCCUGUCUCGCAUAGUGGGAGACAGGAAAUGUUUUGCAGUGGCAUCACCUGCUCCUCAGAGGACUUAUGAAAUGUUUGUAAAUUCUCAGGUGAACAGAACAGCUUAGUGGGUGGCAAAAUCCAGACUUACCCAAAUAAAAGAUCUUACUUGCUUUAUCUAUAUAUAUAAAAUGUUAAAAGACUGACCGACUAACCAGCUAGUAGGUAUGACACGCACUGUCCUCCAGGGGGCAGACACUCAACGCGGGAGCUGCCGGGCUGUGGUGACUUGGCAACGGUUCUCGGUUCUCGGUAAUACACCCCAGAACCAGAGAGGAGGGAGCCCAUUUCCUCAGGGGGCCACAGAUUCCACCAGGCUGUGGGACCCCACCUGCUGAAGGGACUCCACUCACUCCACAGACGCUGUUUGAGCCGUGGUGCCACCCCAGGUGCAGCCGGCCAGGGAGGGACAGCGGGAGGUUGGCUCCAGGGAGUGUCCGGACCAGGCUCACCCUAUCGGCCACUUUCUAGUUAAAUUCCUUUCAAUGUGCACGAAUCAGUGCAAAGGGUCACUAGUCUUCAAAUAAAGGAUUUAAUUUGCUGCAUAUCUCCUAUAUCAGCCCAGAGCAAUAAAAGCUCACUGAAAUUCCCCUCCUAUCUAUCCCAUUCAUUCCUUUAGUCAACAAAUAUUUAUUGAGUGAACACCAUGUACUAGCCACAUUGUAAUUUUUAGAGUCAAGUUGAUGAUAGGGUGUAGUUACUGAUCUAGAAAUAUUUUGGCGCCUGGCUAGUGGCCUCUCUGCAACUCAGAGCCUUCGUCCAAGCCCACUUUAUUCUGUGAGCUUCCCAGGAGGCGUCUGGAGCAUUCACUGCUGUAGCCCCGCCAUUGGGCCCAGUACAUGAGAUCCUACUUUUGAACACAGUUUAUUGAGUGAAUUAACAUGAUGAGGAACAUUCUGAGCAGAUACCUAAGUGGCCUAAAUGAUGAAACUAGAGAAGUGAUUGCUCUGUCAGGGGCCUGGAGGAGGGAGGAGAAAGCAAUCUCGGGACUGGGAGAGUAGAGAAUAUUAAUACUCUAGGCCAGUGGUCGGCAAACCGCGGCUCGCGAGCCACAUGCAGCUCUUUGGCCCCUUGAGUGUGGCUCUUACACAAAAUACUGACUUCUGCGCAUGGGCCACAAAGUUUCAAUCGCACUGUAUGUGCGUGCUCGCACGUGGUAUUUUGUGGAAGAGCCACACUCAAGGGGCCAAAGAGCUGCAUGUGACUCGCGAGCCGCAGUUUGCUGACCACGGCUCUAGGCUGAUUUUAGUGGUAGAUGUUUUAAGGAAGUUGUUGGGCUUGUGUGCUUUCUUUUCAAUUGAAAAAAAUAUAUAUGGAGCCUCUAUUAUGAGUUAAAAAGUGGGGAAUAAAACAGCUAUAUUGUAGCGGAGUUCACAGUCUGGUUGGCCAGACAAAGUGAACAGGCUCUUACAAUACAGUGUGAUACCGGGAAGUACAGUGUGCUGUAAACCACGUAGAGGGGUUACUUAAUCUAGUUUGGGAGUGCAGGUCCCUUGAAUUCUGCCUCCAUUAUGUCUCUAGGGAUCCAGCACUGUCUAGACAGGCAUUCUGAUAAAGCAUUUAGAGAGAACUCAGAGGAUUCUGCUCCUACAGUCAAAGAACACUAGGCCAACCAUUUUCAAAUCCAGGGCACAACUUCAGGGCCUGAGUGGUGCUCUUUCUCUUUUGCAUAAUCUAAGGCCGUUGGGACAUUCUGAUACUUCUAAAGCAAAGGAGACUUAUUUCCAGGCGCUGAUGUAGCUGAAGAAGUAGGCUUUUCACUAAAUGAAGAUAUUUGAGUGCCUACUUUGUGAGGGCAUUAUGAACUUUCAUGCACUGAGACCCUCAUAUGUGCUCCCAGAGUUCCUUCUUAUUUUCUAGCUCUGUUCCUCUCUCUUCUCUAGUUUUCUCUCCCCUCCCCUC